rnacentral:rRNA from 1 species
UACGUAGGGUGCAAGCGUUGCCCGGAUUUAUUGGGCGUAAAGGGCGCGCAGGCGGCCGAGCACGUCCGUUGUGAAAUCGCCUGGCUCAACUGGGCGGGGUCAGCGGAUACGGCUAGGCUGGAGCAAGCUAGGGGGCAAUGGAAUUCCCGGUGUAGUGGUGGAAUGCGUAGAGAUCCGGAAGAACACCAGUGGCGAAGGCGGUCUGCUGGGCGGUGAGCUCGCAAGGGCUCAAUAGCCGACACUGAGGCGCGACAGCGUGGGGAGCAAACAGG